rnacentral:rRNA from 1 species
UAGGGAAUCUUCCGCAAUGGGCGAAAGCCUGACGGAGCAACGCCGCGUGAGUGAUGAAGGUCUUAGGAUCGUAAAACUCUGUUAUUAGGGAAGAACAAACGUGUAAGUAACUGUGCACGUCUUGACGGUACCUAAUCAGAAAGCCACGGCUAACUACGUGCCAGCAGCCGCGGUAAUACGUAGGUGGCAAGCGUUAUCCGGAAUUAUUGGGCGUAAAGCGCGCGUAGGCGGUUUUUUAAGUAUGAUGUGAAAGCCCACGGCUCAACCGUGGAGGGUCAUUGGAAACUGGAAAACUUGAGUGCAGAAGAGGAAAGUGGAAUUCCAUGUGUAGCGGUGAAAUGCGCAGAGAUAUGGAGGAACACCAGUGGCGAAGGCGACUUUCUGGUCUGUAACUGACGCUGAUGUGCGAAAGCGUGGGGAUCAAACA